UUCAAAAAAUUUAUAUUUUUAUUAUUUUAAAGUAGAAUAUAUUAUAGAAUAUAUUGUGAAUAAGCUUAUUAAAAUUAUAAAUUCUGCGCAUGCGUAAGUGUUUUAACCGCGGAAAGCACUCAAAUAAGAAAAGUUAUAUAGUGGCGCCAAAAAAUAAUAACCUCAUUGUGGAAUUAUAUAAGUUACAUUGUUGUAAUCAAGAAUUUUAUUAUUUAUGAGUUAUUGUAAAUAAUAUGUGAAAGAUGAUAUUCAGAAGUGCUAUGUAUACCUAGUAUUCGUAGAAGUGAAUUGGGUGAUAAAUCUUCGUGCUGAAUCAAAUAAAAGCAAAGGUGUUCUCAUGCAUAAAUUCCGCACGCGCGGCGUGAUGUACAUAUACCGAUGAGAUAGUGCAGGAUCAUAAAUAUUGUACAUUUUUAGUCGGUGAUCAAGAUUUCAAAGUGCAUACUUCGUUCUCAUGGUUAACCAGGCAUGUCAUUUUUUCACUUUAACCAGAGACAAGAACCUGGUUCCUCGACAUUUCUCUACUUUCUGGGUCUUAAAUAGAUAUCUGAUUGUAAUAUAAAAAAUGUGUAUUGAUAGAAAAAUAAAAAUAUGAAAAUUCGGAAAGGUAUGUAUAAAGUCUGUUGUAUAAAAAGAAACUUACUUGUGAAACCGUUCGGACAUCAUUCUGUUCCUUGAUCCUUUAGAAAUUUUUGUUACCGAUGGCAAAACAUUAUUACUAAAGACAAAAUUUAUUGGCACUUUUUUAAUAAUCACUUUUAAUAACAAUGAAUGCGAGAUUCAUAGAUUCUGCAUAUUUUUUUUUUUAAACAGUAAAAAAUCACAAGUGCCGAGUAUGGCGUCCAGCAGUGUACUGCUCAAACGAACUAAGGCUGGAAAAAUAUGAAAAAAAUCAAUCAUAUUAACGAUUGCUGGAUUAGUUGGAUUCUUUUUACCAGAGAUGAACUAAGAAAGGUUAAGACGAAAGUUACUAGCAUAGAGAGAGGACGCCGCAAUCGGUGAGUCAGUACUUUUUAUCAACUGAAAGUAUAAAUGAGACAAAUAUUUCGCGCCCAAAUUUUUAUCUUUACUUUUUACAAUUCAUACAAAAAAAUAUAUUUCACAUAUGAAUAAUAUUUGAAAGUUGUUUUAUUGAGACUUUACAACAAUCAGCAUGCAAAGAUUACAUUGAAUCUUACAGCGAUAUUCAUUUAUUUCAACGCAUUUGCUAAAUAUACAAUUGGAUUACAACAAAACUAUUUAUAUUAAGCAAAGAACAUUGUUAGUGCUGCAAAAGAUACUCUUGAUUACACUUGAAUGAU
rnacentral:lncRNA from 1 species